rnacentral:tRNA from 3 species
AGGGGUGUAGCUCAACUGGUAGAGCACCGGUCUCCAAAACCGGGGGUUGCGGGUUCAAGUCCUGCCGCCCCUGCCA